CCUACGGGGGGCUGCAGUGAGGAAUAUUGGUCAAUGGGCGCAAGCCUGAACCAGCCAAGUCGCGUGAGGGAUGACGGUCCUAUGGAUUGUAAACCUCUUUUGUCGGGGAGCAAGGCCCGCCACGUGUGGCGGGAAGGAGAGUACCCGAAGAAAAAGCAUUGGCUAACACCGUGCCAGCAGCCGCGGUAAUACGGAGGAAGCGAGCGUUAUCCGGAUUUAUUGGGUUUAAAGGGUGCGUAGGCGGAAGGUUAAGUCAGCGGUAAAAUGUCGGUGCUCAACACCGGCCUGCCGUUGAAACUGGUCUUCUUGAGUGAGCGAGAAGUAUGCGGAAUGCGUGGUGUAGCGGUGAAAUGCAUAGAUAUCACGCAGAACUCCGAUUGCGAAGGCAGCAUACCGGCGCUCAACUGACGCUGAGGCACGAAAGCGUGGGGAUCGAACAGGAUUAGAUACCCCAGUAGUC
rnacentral:rRNA from 1 species